GAGUGAUUCCACAGUGAAGCGAGUUCAUGACCACAGGAAUUUGGUCUUUUGUUUUGUGCCUUUUUUUUCUUGAUUGUCAUGCGUCCCAAAUGACACCAACCUUCAACAAAUCCCAACGCCACUAACAAAAGUUCACAGACAACAUGACAUAGUGCAAGAACACAAUCUACUGCCAUUUGAACAACAACAAUCAGUCAUCGUCCCUGAAAACAGUGCGGAUACAGCCUGCUCCCCAAAGUUACCAGAAGCAUUUGUCAACUCAAUUGUAGAGAAAGUUGUGGAGAGGAUAGCUAACCCUUUUUCCCACAUCCCUGCUACCAGUGAUGUUCCAGUAGCCACAACCAGUGCUGCACACAGCUGUCCCCAGUCAUUGAGUACUACUAUUGUUGAUAAUAAUGCCUCUUCGCCAACUAACACCUUCAUAUAAGAUUGCAAAAUUUAUGGAACUGGCCCCUGGGGACAUGGACAAGGUCCAGACAGAUAUCCCCUUCCAUCUGCCGCCACAGAAUUGGCACCCAUAGUGUCAAGGCUUCUUCAGUUUAGUUUACAACCUUCUUCCAUGCUUACCUUUACACAGGUAUGGAGGAUUAUUUUGUAAUUUUUUUCAUAAUAAUUGUUACCCUGAAGCUACUAUCAGCCGUCCAUUUUCACUUCCAACAUUAGCUCUUUUUAUUGAAUACAUGUUUGACCAUAAUAAUUACCUAUGCCUCAUCAACAGAUACAACUUAUAUCUUGGAUUUGGGCUAUUUCGAUAAGCUGCUUGGGCAUGAUGAUCAGAGUAAGAACUUUUUUAUUUCCCAGAUGAUAAAAGGAGGCUAUUCAAAAAUUGAUUAUCAUGUAGACAACUUCAUUUCCUAUAAUUAUUUCGCUGCAUCAUGUAAUUUAGCAGAACCUCAUUCCAACAUAGCGUUGAUCUUUUUCAAGCUCUGUGUUCAUUUGCUUUUCACACUUUUCCAGAACAGGUGAAAUGACUCAUUUAUCAUGUAAUGAUAAUCUACAGUUUCAUCAGCUAUCUCAAGUUAGACAUUCUGGGGGUAAUGUUUUGUGCUUUAAAAUAACUUUUCAUAAUUACAAACAUUGAUGUAAUCAAAGGCCUUUUACCCUUAAUAUUCUACUGAGUAAGGUCUUUAGCCCAGUACAGUUUUUACUCGCAUAUCUUAGUUUGAGGGAUCAUGCUUCAUCAGGUCCAUUGUUUAGGUUGCCCAGUCUAUCUCCAGUGUAAUGUUCAUAUUUCUUUUCAUUGCUGUCCACUGUCUUAAAAUCUUGUUCAUUAUCCUCAGCUCGCUACAAAGGUCACAGUUUGCAUAGGUGCUGCUUUUUAGGUUGCAGAGAAGGGUUUAUCUGAUGUCCAAAUUCGUUUUUUAAUAGGUCGGUAGAGAUCUAAUGCUUUCCACAAAUACAUUCGGCUCCAUUCUCUCUAGUAAUUUUGGGACAGCUUGCAGGGGAAGUUGUCCCAAAACUUACUUUAAGCUUGUCUAGGGCUGUUGUUUAACAUAUAUUCCCAAAUGGCAUCUUACUAGCAAGGGAGGCAGGUGGCUUCUUGGUUUUAUUAUUUGGGAAACUUUAACCAAAUUUCUUCUAUAAAAAAUCCAUCUUAGGCCAACUAGCAGGGGCGGUGGCCUUACAUGGUUUAUUUCAAUGUAUUUCAAAUAGAUUACUUUAUAGAAAGUGCGCCGGUAAAAUAUAAAGAAGAGAAAAUUCCAUUUGCAAGGUUUAUUACAUGAGAUUGGCCUUAAAUAUAAUUAAACAUGUUAUGCCGUUUCAA